AGAUGCUUCAAGUACAAACCAGAGCUGAGGAUUUUGAAUAGACUCCAUUUAGUUUCUCUUCUGGAGGCCCAACCCACACAAUCCUAAUUUCUCUGCCUCUUAAGUUGAUGCCAUAACCAAGUACUGUGGAGACAUCAAAAGAAUGAAGACAAAGAAAACAUACAGAAUUGGAAGCCCUGCCUCCCCAAGGCACAGACAGAGUCUCCUCCGUCUUACUUGAGCUCCACCAAACUCAGGAAGCGUGCAAAUACUUUCAUCCUGCCAGCUUCACUCUGGAACUUUGCUUUCUUGGCUACUAUGGAAGAUCUAACUCUAGAAGUCUCCAUCAACAAUUUGGAAUGAUUUUUGCUUACCUGUGACACCCAGAAAAAAACAACGUUCACAAUUUUACACAGAAAUCAGUGACAUGCGUGGAAAGAAAAUGGAACAGAAGGUAGAAACCUGCGUUCUGGAAUUAGACUGCCGGCGUUUAAAGCUCAUCUCUGCCACUAACCACUUAUAUGAUGUUAGGCAAAUUAGUUUAUCUCUCUGUGCUACUAUUUUCUCAAAAGUAAAAUGUGAGUUGCAAUGUAGUUUGUUUAACUCGAAAAUUUUGAGAUUUGAAUAUAACAUUCAAACGCUAAGAUGUGUACCUGACACAGAAUAAAUGCUCAAUAACAAUAAUCUCUUUUUUAAAAAUGCACAAAAUGUAGAAAGCAAUACAUUGAAUUCCAUUCUUUAAAACGAGCACAUAUCUAAAUGCUGAGUAAUUUCUUACGGAGACCUUACAGAUACAGUUCUUUUUUCUAUUGUUUCCCCGGAAUUAUUCAGAAAAGCAUUUUCUUUAAGCAAGUUCUAAUGGCUGUCACUAUGAUUUAAAGCUUUCUACAGAAUCUUUCACAUAGGGUAUGCCUGCCUAAAUUACUUUGGACCUAGUUUUAGAUAAACUUCCAUAACAAGUGUUGAAUAAAUGCAUGAGUAAAUAAAGUAAAGCAAAACAGA
rnacentral:lncRNA from 10 species